rnacentral:ribozyme from 13 species
GAAAAGAAAAAAGAGAAAAAAAGAUAAAAAGAAAAACCUUUGAAGAAAAAAAUGAAGGUUUCUCUUUUGGGUUUGUUCUCUUUGUUCUCUUUCUGGUCUUUCUUUCUC